AGCGAACGCUGGCGGCAGGCUUAACACAUGCAAGUCGAACGGGCUUCUUCGGAAGUCAGUGGCAGACGGGUGAGUAACACGUGGGAACGUGCCCUUCGGUUCGGAAUAACUCAGGGAAACUUGAGCUAAUACCGGAUACGCCCUUUUGGGGAAAGGUUGACUGCCGAAGGAUCGGCCCGCGUCUGAUUAGCUUGUUGGUGGGGUAACGGCCUACCAAGGCGACGAUCAGUAGCUGGUCUGAGAGGAUGAUCAGCCACACUGGGACUGAGACACGGCCCAGACUCCUACGGGAGGCAGCAGUGGGGAAUAUUGGACAAUGGGCGCAAGCCUGAUCCAGCCAUGCCGCGUGAGUGAUGAAGGCCUUAGGGAUGUAAAGCUCUUUUGUCCGGGACGAUAAUGACGGUACCGGAAGAAUAAGCCCCGGCUAACUUCGUG
rnacentral:rRNA from 1 species